rnacentral:lncRNA from 1 species
AAACAACGAAAAAAAAAAUCUAGAUCCGAAUUCCAGGAGGGUAAACUUUGCAGCCACGUCACACGUCAGCAAAUUUGCACAGAUAUUAUAUUGCCUCCCCCCUUUUUUAUUUUUUUCGGAGCCCAUUGUACUUAACUGAAUUUUAUAACGCUGAUCGAUAUCUUGGUAAAAUAUUCAUUUUUAAACUAGCGGGCAGUGAAAUCUUUGCUUUGUGUGCUAAAGUCAACAGUCUCACAGUUCGGGCUCCAAUAAAUGCGGCGAUGCUGCGGCUUGGAGCAGUCGGGGCGUCUCCCAAUGCAAGACUGUCCUCGCCCGGCCGUGGGCUGCGGAAGGCCCCACACCAGGAACCCAAUUGUCAAGAGCAGCAACCUAUUCACAGGUCCAAGAAUUGUGUCAGCAAUACACGGUUUCCAGUGAUUUUCAUAUUCAACCUUGGGCAAGAUGGGGUGAAUGAACUCCACAGGACAAGAUUGCUCUGGGGAGUUUCAAUGAUGAAAUGAGAAGGGAUGUUACCUGAACAAUAACUGCAAGAUGAUAUCGGGUGCAAGCACGAUGGAUGUAAAAUUCUGUAAAAGAAAGGAGAUAUGCUAAUGGCAGAAUUUUGAAGAAUGCCGGAGGUCAAGCUGUUAACAAGAAGUUGGUCCUAAAGUCAGAAUCUCCCCUAAACAAUCGGAAUGUUCAGUAUCUAUUUUGACACUGCCUGUUAUGCCCCAUGUAGGUUUUGGGAGCCAAGACACCAUGCUUAAUUCCAUUGUAAUAAGGUUUAUUUAGCCUGAACGGUUUUAUGAGGUGAAAAGGCAGAAAGUUUAACACAGAAGAAAAUUAAUGGUUUACUAAGAUUACAUUAAACAUUCACAGACAGGAAGCACACCUGCGGUAAAUACAAAGUUUAAACACUCCUUUGCUCUCUGACAAAAAUCUCAGCAACUUUAGUAUGUUUUUCCUACUGGGUGGUCAGAAGGAAAAGCUCCAAAGCAAAAGGACUCCUAUUGUGUCUAUGCUGCCUUAAGAACUGACCUCACAUGUCUCUAUAGAAGACAAACACCUGUUUAUCUCUGGUGAGCUCCUGCGUGUGUCUACACCAAUGCACAUGCUCUCAACACUGCCCCACAGUCUUCUAUCACUACAUAGAGAAGAUGGCUUUUGGAACCAGAAAAAAAAAUGUUUCCCCUCUCCCAAAAUGCACUCCUUUUUUUUUUCAAAGCAAUAAAUAUUUUUCUUUAUUUUUUAUUUCCGCCCA